CGGGAAAAGCUCAAAUUUAAAAUCUGGUGGCCGAAAGGUUGCCCGAGUUGUAAUUUGUAGAAGAUGCUUCGGGUGAGGCUCUGGUCUAAGUUCCUUGGAACAGGACGUCAUAGAGGGUGAGAAUCCCGUAUGUGACUGGCCGCCUUCGCCUAUGUGAAGCUCUUUCGAC
rnacentral:rRNA from 1 species